rnacentral:rRNA from 1 species
AUUGAACGCUAGCGGGAUGCUUUACACAUGCAAGUCGAACGGAGUGGCGGACGGGUGAGUAAUAUAUCGGAACGUGCCCAGUAGCGGGGGAUAACUACACGAAAGAGUGGCUAAUACCGCCUAAUAUUGAAGCAGCCGAUAUCGGAUUAGCUAGUGGGUGGGGUAACGUCUCAUCAAGGCAACGAUCCGUAGCUGGUUUGAUAGGACGACCAGCCACACUGGGACUGAGACACGGCCCAGACUCCUACGUGAGGCAGCAGUGGGGAAUUUUGGACAAUGGGGGAAACCCUGAUCCAGCCAUCCGGCGUGUAUGAUGAAGGCCUGCGGGUUGUAAAGUAAUUUUGGAAGAGAAGCGGUAUCUGCAGAAUAAGCACCGGCUAAAUACGUGACAGCAGCCGCGGUAAUUC